UUCACUAUCUGCAAACACCUCU
rnacentral:miRNA from 1 species